UGUUCUCUGGUUGAUUUGGCUUCAAAAUCUAUAGACUAAGGAAUAAGAAUAACAAAAAACAAAAAGUUGUGGAUUGGUAUAAAAUAGUUUUUCUAUAAAUAAAUAUAAUUUUGUAAACAAAUUACUAGAUUUGAGUAGUUUAAUUUUCUAUUUACCAAAAUAGUGCAUAUGUGGCAUUUGUGUGAGAAGUUGAGGACUGAGGGGAUUUGAAAAUUCAAGUA
rnacentral:misc_RNA from 1 species